AACGAACGCUGGCGGCAGGCUUAACACAUGCAAGUCGAACGCGUGCAGCAAUGCACGAGUGGCGCACGGGUGAGUAACGCGUGGAUAUCUGCCUUUUGGUUCGGAAUAACCCCGGGAAACUGGGGCUAAUACCGGAUGGUUCCUACGGGAUAAAGAUUUAUCGCCAAAAGAUGAGUCCGCGUCCGAUUAGCUAGUUGGUGAGGUAAUGGCUCACCAAGGCGACGAUCGGUAGCUGGUCUGGGAGGACGAUCAGCCACACUGGGACUGAGACACGGCCCAGACUCCUACGGGAGGCAGCAGUGGGGAAUAUUGGACAAUGGGGGCAACCCUGAUCCAGCCAUGCCGCGUGAGUGAUGAAGGCCUUCGGGUUGUAAAGCUCUUUUGGCGGGGACGAUGAUGACGGUACCCGCAGAAUAAGCCCCGGCUAACUUCGUG
rnacentral:rRNA from 1 species